GGGGGCUUAGCUCAGCUGGGAGAGCACCUGCUUUGCAAGCAGGGGGUCGCCGGUUCGAACCCGGCAGCCUCCACCA
rnacentral:tRNA from 1 species